ACUCGAGCGCUCGCUCGCUGCCGCGGCGCUUCGGCGGUAGUGCCCUCCGCCUCCUCGCUGUCUUUUCUCCCGCGCGCUCGCGCACGCAUCCACCCCACCCCCAUCCCUUCUUCCUCUCCCCAUUGGAGGAGCGCUUGCGGAGGCAGAGCAGGGCGGGAGCGAACCCUAACCGCCCGUUGGCCGGGCCUGCAAUGCGAAUGGCCGCGGCGGCGGGGGUGGCGCGGUGAGCGGAUCUGCCGGGUGAUGGGGAAGGCGGCGGGGGACCCGCCGGACUCUGCUGGGGUCGGAGGAGGAGGAGGAGGCGGCGGGGAGGUAGCGGCUGGGGAGGAGGGGAGCGGGCGGCGCCGGUGGUGGCGCUGCGCGGCCGCGGUUCUGCUCGGCGCCGCCGUCAUGCUGUCGGCGCUGUUCUGGCUGCCACCGUUCGCAGCUCGGCGGCGGAGGGGCGAGGAGGCGCGCGCGGACCCCUGGCGCGGAGCUGAUGUGGUUGCAAGCUUCAGGCUGCAAAGAAUGAUUUCUGAGCUUGGUGGAAACAAAUCAAAACUUGAGUAUGAUAUUUUUGAAGAGAUUGGCAUCAACAAUUCUGCGGUAUCUGUACUUUCCUUGGAUCCAAUUGGUGAAUCAACCUGGACUACUGUGACAUUUGGUGUUUGGCCCUAUCCUAGUAAUUUCACCUUAUCACCAACAGAGUUAAGCAUACUGCGGUCAUCUUUGGUGUCCUUGGUUAUACGGCAGUCUAUUCUUUAUUUGACACCAUCUCUAUUUGGGAAUUCUUCUUCUUUUGAGAUCUUGAGGUUUCCUGGUGGUAUAACGAUUAUACCUCCACAGACUGCUUUUGUUCCUCAGAAGCCUGAUGGGUUAUUUAAUUUCUCAUUGAACUUUCCCAUUGAUGUGGUACAAGACAAACUGAGUGAACUGAAGGCCCAGAUGAAAUCUGGGUUAUCUCUCAAUGAACAUGAGAUCCUAUAUGUUACAUUGACAAAUCUGUAUGGUUCAACUGUUGCACCUCCUACCAUUGUUCAAGCAUCUGUUCUCCUUGCUGUAGGAGCAGAUAACAAACCACCAUCCUUGCAAAGAUUAAAACAAUUAGCCCAAACAUUAAGAAAUUCCUCUUCAGGAAACUUGGGUUUGAACCACACUGUGUUUGGACGAGUUAAGCAGAUUAGUCUGUCAUCCUACCUUCAGCAUUCGCUGAACAACUCAGGCAACGCUCAUUCGCCAAAUCCAGCUCCUCAACCUUAUAAUCAACCUCCCUCAAUCCACCAGGAUCACAAUCACGGCGACCACCAUCACCAUCACCACCACAUCCACCACCACCAUCAUCACCACCACGAUAAUAGUCAUCAGAGUUUACAGCAUUUCCCCCCUGCUCCUGCUCCUCUUCACAGUGCACCUACUUUUCUGACCUGUGGUUCUACAUGUACACGGAAGAAAGAACAUAGCACUGCUAAGCACCAUUCAUCUCCCAUCAGGGGUCCUCUGUUACGCCAUAUUGUGCCUGCAGCUUCUCCAGAUAGUAGUUAUGAAGCUUCAGGCCCAUAUGUAGAUCCACCAUCAUUUCAUCCAGGGAUUUCAUCAUCUUCACUUCCUGCUGUUGUUUUUCCUGCAAUGCCACCCAGUAUGAGAACCUUGAAGCCUCCCAACAAAUUCUCAUCGAUAUCACCUGCAGCGUCUAUCUAGAACAGGAAAAAAAAGAAACAGUUGCCAUAGCUUUGCUAAAGGGCAAAAGCUCCCACUCUCUUUCGUAAUUACUGAAGCAUUUGCACCCAGGUUAUCUUCCCACUGGUGGGUCGUUGCAUCACUUCUAUACUGGCCCCUAUUGUAGAGAUGGAAUAUUUCUCACCCAGGUGUUGAAGUUCAUGCGGCAACAACUUGGAUCACCAUUUUCCAAAUGAUCCUCAGCAUCAAGAACCCUGGAUGGCAGUCUUUGGUUAUCACCUAAUGGAUGUAAAUAUGUGUAUAACGCAGCAGAGGGGUGUAUUUGUGGUCAAAGCCGUAAUGAUGGUGGGCCCUUAGUUGCAUUGCAUCCCUUUUGUUGCUUUGUAUAAUCAUGCGCAGAUCAAAUAAAGGUUUUGCGUUUUUGUUGAGAAAUAUUGUGCCGGACUGAGGUCUUCAAUAUUUAAAACACAAAGGGGUCUCAUGUUAUUGAUCCAGUUUGCUGUGUUAUGUGUUGAAAAAUUGUAAAUACUAGUUUGACAGGUGAUAGACUUUUUCCCUUUUUUUUGGGAAAUUCAAGAAGUAGCAAUAGUCUGAAAACUUCUGUUUAAUGAAUAAGUUGCCUCUA